rnacentral:rRNA from 1 species
CCUACGGGAGGCAGCAGUGGGGAAUAUUGCACAAUGGGGGAAACCCUGAUGCAGCGACGCCGCGUGAGUGAAGAAGUAAUUCGUUAUGUAAAGCUCUAUCAGCAGGGACGAAAAUGACGGUACCUGAGUCAGAAGCCCCGGCUACCUACGUGCCAGCCGCCGCGGUAAUACGUUGGGGGCAAGCUUUAUCCGGAUUUACUGGGUGUAAAGGGAGCGUAGACGGCAGUGCAAGUCUGGAGUGAAAGGCGGGGGCUCAACCCCCGGACUGCUCUGGAAACUGUACGGCUGGAGUGCAGGAGAGGUAAGUGGAAUUCCUAGUGUAGCGGUGAAAUGCGUAGAUAUUAGGAGGAACACCAGUGGCGAAGGCGGCUUACUGGACUGUAACUGACGUUGAGGCUCGAAAGCGUGGGGAGCAAACAGGAUUAGAUACCCUGGUAGUC